CAGUCGCCGCGGUAAUACAGAGGGUGCGAGCGUUAAUCGGAUUUACUGGGCGUAAAGCGUGCGUAGGCGGCUUCUUAAGUCGGAUGUGAAAUCCCUGAGCUUAACUUAGGAAUUGCAUUCGAUACUGGGAAGCUAGAGUAUGGGAGAGGAUGGUAGAAUUCCAGGUGUAGCGGUGAAAUGCGUAGAGAUCUGGAGGAAUACCGAUGGCGAAGGCAGCCAUCUGGCCUAAUACUGACGUUGAGGUACGAAAGCAUGGGGAGCAAACAGGAUUAGAUACCCCCGUAGUCCCUGUCUCUUAUAC
rnacentral:rRNA from 1 species